CACCUCGUAGGGGAAGGACGUUCGUCUCGUCCUGUCACUGUCGGCGAACUUCGAUGCGUUCGGGAAAAAGAUUUUCUCGACCGGUGAAUUCUCGCGAAUAUUCUGAUCGCUAUCGCGGCUUCAAACGAUGCUCCAAAACGUCGGUCGCGUGAGUGCGGGGAUUUAAUUUCGAUACUGUACAGUGGCGAAAACCAAGCAGUGAGAACGGACGAAGAGAGGGAGAGUGAGAGGAGGACGAACGGUUGUGCGACCCGUGAUCGAUCCCAUAGUGUGUCUCGUUAAGGUGUUUUUUUCGCGAUUUCUCGUCGCUGAUCUCAAUGAUCGCGUGUGUCGAUAAAUGGCUUUGACUCGUGGUGUGCUCGCAAACGACAGAACGCCCGCAACGAUGCUGCCGCAGACACCUGACAUCAUCCCAACUACGCUGAACCAACAAAAAUGCGUGAAGGCGCGAGCGCUGUACGACAAUAUCGCCGAGGCGCCUGACGAAUUGGCUUUUCGAAAAGGGGAUGUUCUAACUGUAUUGGAACAAAAUACCGCUGGUCUUGAGGGAUGGUGGUUGUGCGCUUUGCGAGGUAGACAGGGCAUCUGUCCAGGAAAUCGAUUGAGACUUCUGGUUGGUCAAUACGAUACGGGGGGUUGUUUGAUCGGCAGCAGAGCCGACCUAACUAUUUCCGAGGAUGGCAUACAAAGACACGGGAAAAGGCGUAGCUGGCACGUGCAGCCCAAUAGGGUUGUUACGCCGCAGAAGUGCGGGGACGUCUACCUGUACGACCUCCCAGCCAGUCGGGGAAGUCCUGCGCCGCCCUCCAGACACGACUCACCCCUUAACUCGACGAACAAUGAGCAUUCGCACAAUACAGGGCGAUAUAUCGGCAGCAGCAACAGCGCGCGGAAUUCCGUCGACAACGGAGGUAGCGGCGAUGCGAACGAGUGUUACGAUGUACCGCCACGUGCGAUCCCGGUGAUAUCGUCGCCGACGAGCAGCCCGAGCCCGGCCCCAUCGUGCUAUGACAUCCCGAGGCCGCCCACAUCCUGCACGCCUAACUCAAAUUGCUCCGGCAUCACCCCGUUGGAUUGCUACGACGUGCCACGACCCCUGCAACCCCUCACACCCAGCAGCUCGGCCUCCAGUCUUACCAAUGAUGGAUCCCUCAGUGGCUCGAACAGAUCGAGUUUGGCCGCUCCGGAUUAUGAUGUACCUCGGCCACGUCUUCCAGUAUCCUCGUUGCCGUCACGACACAACACUCCCAUACCGAACACCCCGACGCCGCCGCCACCCUCGCAACAAAUUUACGAUGUACCAGUAAGCAAGGAGCUUCCGCUGGAGCUAGACUCUGCCCUGGAAGGUUUGCAGAGAUUGCAGAACGAGGCGUCCGCCGCGAUAGCAAGGUUACUGGGCUUCGUGAGCCCCGGCUGGAGAACGCCGCAGCGAUUGGAUGCCACCCUGAUGGAUCUGAGGCUGGCUGCUCUCAGACUCCGAACGUCUUUGCACGAUCUAGCUGAAUUCGCGGAAGGCACGCUAGGCAAUGCAGGCAAAGCACCGGACAAAGGUCUAGCAACGAAAUUACGACCACUAGUAAAAGCGCUUCGUGAUUCCGACAAGCUCGUGCAGGAAGCCGCUACUGAAUUGGACACGAUGGAAUGGGAUGCGAGCAAGCUCUGCCGCGGCGGUGGCGAUACACCAACACCUACUAACGGACCUCCGCCUUCGCUGCUACCGUCUGUACAGCCGGAUCCCCUCGAUCAGCUGAUCGCGUGCGCCCGAGCGCUCACGGAAGAUGUCCGUCAGGUUGCUAGUUUCAUUCAGGGAAAUUCUACGUUGCUUUUCAAACGAGCGUCGAUCAUUUCCACGGGUAGUAGCAACAAUAGCGGCGCCGGGGAGGAUUACGACUACGUGAAUCUCGAUUCGCGAGAGGUCGUGGCGAAACAGCGGGAAGAGCUACGAGCCUUGCUGCCGCAGGAGCUGCGCAGCAAUUACGAUCUGCUGGUAUCCGAGGCGGACAAUGCGACGAUUCAGAUGCCACCAACGACACCGACGCCCAUGGAUCCCAACGACAAGCAAUUGUUGGCCUUCUAUGCCGCACAGGUGAUCACGCAUGGCGCGCACCUGACUCACGCUAUCGACGCUUUUCUGCAGACGGUCGAGCACAAUCAACCACCCAAGGUUUUUCUGGCUCACGGUAAAUUCGUCGUGCUGAGUGCACACCGGCUAGUGCACAUUGGUGACACGGUGCACCGAAACGUAACGCGAAACGACGUGCGUACACGUGUUUUGCAAUGCGCGAACGCUCUGAACGAGGCGCUCGCGCAAACCGUGCAGAAGACGAAGCAGGCCGCCCAGUUCUUCCCGAGCGUUACCGCAGUCCAGGAAAUGGUCGACAGCGUCGUCGAUGUCUCACACCUCGCUAAGGAUCUCAAAGUCGCCAUGAUACAGUCCGCUCAACAGCCUUGAAAAUUUUUGUCGCAACGCAGUCGCGUAACUACAAGUUCCUUGAAUUGAAAUGCAAUCUUUACGAUUGAUAAUUCUUUUUUUUUGUUAAACUCUAAGAUUGUCUGGAAGAUUCAAACACGACGCAUUUUAGAAUUUACACCUUGCGAUCGGAUUUGAUAUCGAUAAUUGAUAAUUUGAAGACAACGCUCGAAGAAUCAUAUAUCGAAUCUGUUGUGCACAUUUUUUUUGUCAAGAUUUUGAACAAACGUCGCUGAUAACUUGCAACGCGUUCAUAGGAUGAAUAUUUUUUUCUUGUACAAAAAUGGAUCAAAAAUAUCUCAGGAAAUUUUCAAUGGUUCUUCAAGCGUUAUAUACGAGAUGUGAAUCGUUGAUGAUUGCUGUUAUCUCGAGAUUCAGCCAUCAUCAAAGAAUACCAUGAAGAAUACAGGUGGUAUUGAAGGCACUUGAUAUUUUUACCGAAAGAGAAUGAGCAUUAGAGCAAAAGAAGUUUGCUUGGGAUCCUGAUGACAGUAUUUUUAAUCCUAAACGGCGAAAUAAUCAAACGAGAUGAUCAGUAUAUAUGCUUCAUAAAGCAAAAACCAAAUCUCUAGAACUCACACACCUCGUGUGUAUAAUACAGAGCUAAUUAUCCCUUUGCAUUAUAUAAAAAAAUUGUGGCCUAAAAUAGAAACCUGCUACUGCCAAACCGGUAUUUAGAUCGUAAGCGAAGGAAGUCUUGGAAACGAGUGUCUUUGUAAUGUACUCGAGAAUAUUAACGCAUUGUAAUCUUUCAUAGAAAAUAUGUAGCCGUAUCGUUCAUCUAGACGUUUCAGGUAGACGUGUGGAGUAUAACGAGAAGUUAUAACAAUAGCUUUCCGGCACGUGCGAAGCAUUCCCGAAAUGGGCUUCCACGAAUUCGCGACUUGAUAGGCACCGAGGUUAUCCACUCGUAUUGGAAUGGAGCUCAUUUCGGAUACACGCCAACAACGUAAGCAGCUAAACGUGUUAGUGGUCUCAUAGAUUUCGAUCGUAUAUUGGAAAAUUGACACCAAGAGAAAGAAAAUUCAAUGCAGGGAACACACUUUGCACGCAGAGGCGAACUUAUAUUACUUGUUACAAACGAUUCUUUUGGAGGACAACUUUAAACGAAAAUUUUAUACGAAGCUUUUACUGCUGGUUACUACUUACGAAUUUUUCGAGCGCCCAGGCCUUUUUACCAGGCUCUUCCAUAACAGCGAAAAUUAGUCACGAGCGCACACCGUGAACCGCAAUCAGCGGCGGAUCGAAUGAAGUAUUAUCAUAAGAAUUUGAACGGCAACUCUACGCGUAUUCGUGAAUUUCUUUUCUAUAACGAAAUCUUUUUUAUAGAGCGAAUUUUUAUAGAAUGAUUUUUAUUAAUGCAGAUUCGAGUUUUCUGUAGAUUAACGCAAACAACGCAAAUAUCACGAGAAUAUCGUAAAGAUUGUGUUAUCAUUUUAUCUUCACAUUUUGCAUUUCUAUAUCAUUAUAUGUUAAUCCAUUAUAUGAUAAAUCAGCCAUAGAAUUGCAUUUUUGUAAUUAUCUAAUCAUCAAAACUGUCUUUUUUAUAUUUUAACAUACAAUUAUAAUUAAUAUAUUUUUUUUUCAUUAAACUAUCACCAAGAGACUAUAAUUUAUUUUUAAAUAUAUAAUUAUCGAAGCUAAGAAUACGUAUAUGAUCCAAUCGCUAAUUUGCGGCGCAAGUUGUUUCGUUGGCAUCCACAUGCGAAAGUGUACUUAAAAAUAACUUGCAACUAGUAGGAUCCAUUCAACAUAAUUCGCGAAACUAUCCAACUUAUUUAUUGGAGUUCUAUUGCGCCUCGAUUAAAUAAUACUGGAAAUACAAUUGUGUGACUGUCACGCGAUUAUAUGUAUAUUUCUAGCCGCAUAUUAAAAUGUAAUUGGCUGUUUUGUCGCAGCUUUAAUGCUGAUGAACAUUUAAUAGAAUUCUUUUUUACUCCAUGUGAGAAUUUUCAUCUUUCGACAUUCUUCUUUCUCAAUUAAAAGAUUGUCGUAAUUACUAUUGUGACAUAGAUGAAGCGAUUCUUUUUGAAAGCGCGACUUAUGACAUUGAGAUAUAUUCUACAGUUUAUUUUUUAGAAAUUAUAUACCCAAGCAUAUCGCAUAUAGAAAAACAUUUAUACAUGAACCUCGAGACCUGUAUUAUAAUUUAUUAGCGAAGCGUUUUUUGUAAUAUAAUAUACAUGUGGCAUAGAUAGUUAUGUAGAAUAUAGAACUGUAUAUUUCGAAGUUUAUAUGAUAGUCGAUAGGUGCUUAUCAUUCACGUUCAACUAUCAUAUAUUCAGGUAUAUCAUGUCAUUAACUAUUAAUAAUUUCUCUUUUUUUAAUGCAGACUGGCAAAUGUUGUUUUAUUCCCGCUAAUGAAAACACAAUUCGUCGUUUCCCUCUAAUUUCCCUUUUGUACAUUGUACCUGGAUAAUCCUUUCGCAGUAAUUGUAUUCUUGCGAUCUUACAUUUACGUAUAUAUACACACACAACGGUAUUUCAUGUUAUUAUAAAGAUAAAUACUUAUUAUACUUACUGUACUACAAGCUACAUAUCGAGAGCGAUUAUUCUAACAUAAGAUUGAGAUGAAAAAAUUGGAAAAAAGGAACUCUCGAUAUAGCGUACGUGAUAUCGUUUUAGAGGAAUUUAUUACACAUCGAAAACUCGGUUUAUUAUGCUUUCGGUAGUAUAGUAUAGUACGCGCGAAGAUUCCUGCGUUUUAUCAUUGAAGAUUUCUUCAUGCUAUUCAAUGCAAAGCCGAGAUGCGUUAUAAACUAAAUAAUUGAUUACGUUACGUUAAGAACACCUUAUUUGUAUAUAUACAUAGAUAUAUAUUUAUACAUAUUAUAUAUUAUAUACAUACAUAACUAUUCCUAUUACAAAAACAGAGUAUGUAUACACACACCAUGUGCGCAAUAGUAUGUCCGAGAUGCAAUAGUGGAAUAAAUCUGUUUGAAUAUCGUGCAAUGUCAAAAAUAAUUUUUAAGCUAAAAUAUGCUUAAAUAAUCAAGAAGUAUUUGAAAAAGAAAAUAUCUAUCGAGAAACGUAUUCAUAUAAUUCGUAUUCGAUUGUAAUAUAAGUCAAAAGUGCGUAAACUGAA